rnacentral:rRNA from 1 species
UACGUAGGUGUCAAGCGUUGUCCGGAUUUAUUGGGCGUAAAGAGCUCGUAGGCGGUUUGUCGCGUCUGCCGUGAAAGUCCGGGGCUCAACUCCGGAUCUGCGGUGGGUACGGGCAGACUAGAGUGAUGUAGGGGAGACUGGAAUUCCUGGUGUAGCGGUGAAAUGCGCAGAUAUCAGGAGGAACACCGAUGGCGAAGGCAGGUCUCUGGGCAUUAACUGACGCUGAGGAGCGAAAGCAUGGGGAGCGAACAGG